GGAGAUAGCAUGUUCUAUCCUCAGAGAACUGCUGGUCCAUGGGAAAGUGAGGAUCAUAUUACAUUCCAAUGAUUUGUUCAGCAUCUGCCUCUCCAUCUGGAUUGGAACUUGGCUAGGGUGGGGAUAUGCCUUGGUCCUCCUUGUGUCCCUGGAGCCCAGUGCAGAAGCAGCACGUCACUGGCUGGGAGGGGGGCAUUCAGUAAAUAGUGUGCACUGCCCCCCCCACCCCCCCGCCCAGCAUGGACAACUCCAAACACUGUGGAAUGAAUGGAGGAGACUCAGUCAGAUGUGGCUUUGGGGCAUCACACCCAUCUCAGAGGGUUUAUGUGAAAGGAUGGUUAGAUGAUCCUCUGGACAGGAAACCCCCUGGGUGUAGCAGAAGGAAUACUUGCAGGGAUGCUGCCUCCUGCUGAGUGCUCUCACUGGGCUCCAAUCUGGACUGGAGCAUGCCAUGGCUGAGAGAGCCCUGGAUCGGGGUCAGGGGUCUGGGCAUAGCUGAGCCACGAAUACCUUGGGUGGCCUUGAAAGGUUGGCCUCAGUCACCCUCCCUCCACCCCCACUCCUCAUUUUAUGGGCAAGGCCACCGAGGCCCUGAGACCCGAGUCUACCCCUCUCUAAGCCCCUUCCAGCUCUGGCAUUUCCAGUCUUUUCUGGCUCCUCAUUAACAGAGUAUUUUCCUUUUCCAGUCCACAUUCUAGCUUCCUCCCGUGGGCCCCGACCCCUGCAGCAGGGGAGUGGGCACCGUGUGAAACUCUCCAAAUCGCAUGCGAGGAACCUUGACCUGUCUCCCAGGGAAGGGGCCAGAGGCUAAUUGGCAGGCCCGCUGCAUCCUGUAUCAGCCCCGCAGACGUGUGCCCUGGGCCCGGGAGCCGAGCGCUGCCGGGAAACGCGCACUCGAUUCCUCCGUAUCUGUUACAGGCCCCGCGGUUCACCGUCUGCUCGGAAAUUGGGACAUGGGAGAUGUUCUCUUCAACAUGAGAAGUGGCAAGAAGAGGCCCAGUGGGAAUAGGGGUCAGGACCUGGAGCUGUCGCUGAAAUAGCAAGCCCUGGGGGACCCCCAGUCCCCAGGAAAAGGUGUUCCAUUGGUGAUGAUAACACAGAGCUUCCUUUGAGGAUACACUGCCUUCACUUGAAAGAGCAACGGGUGAAAGCAGCCAGUCACAAAGGACCACGUAGUGUAUGCUCCCAUUUAUGUAACAUGUCCAGGAUAGGAAAUCCAGAGACAGAGGGCAGAUGAGCAGUUGUGUGGGGCUGGGGCCAGGGGGAGCAUGAGUGAGAGCUCAUGGGCCCGGGGGUUCCUUUUAGGGUGACAGGAGGGGAUGGUUACACAACAUCAUGAAUGUCCUGAAUAUCUCACAUGUCCCAAAUCCUACCCAACUAUACACCUUAAAAUGGUAAAAACAGUACAUUUUACAUUGAUUCUACAAUAAUAA
rnacentral:lncRNA from 1 species